GCCGGGUGCGGUGGCGCGCGCCUGUAAUCCAGACUACGGGAGGCUGAGGCUGGCGGAUCGUUGAGCUCAGGAGCUCUGAGCUGCAGCGGACUAUGUCGAUGGUGUCCCGCACAAGUUCGUAUCGAUAUGGUGCUCCUGGGGGAGCCCGGGACCACCAGGUCGUCUAAGGAGGGGUGCACCGGCCCAGGUCGGAAACGGAGCAGGUCAAAGCCCCCGUGCCGCUCAGUAGUGGGAUCGCGCCUGUGAAUAGACGCUGUAGGCAGCCUGAGUAAACAGCGGAACCAACUUUUU
rnacentral:SRP_RNA from 1 species